GCCCCCUCUCCCCCCCGGCCAUUCCCCCCCCUCCUCCCCGUUUGAUUGACGACCACCCUGCUUACACCGUCCGGCGGUUGCUGGACAUUCGUCGUCGGGGCAGGGGGUAUCAGUACCUCGUGGAUUGGGAGGGUUAUGGGCCUGAGGAAAGGAGCUGGGUUUCGCGGGGUCUCAUCCUCGACCUCUCCCUCAUCCGUGACUUCCAUCUGGCUCACCCAGAGAGGCCUAGGCCGCCUAGAGUGUCCGUUGAGGGGAGGGUACUGUUGUGUUCACAGCAGUUUGCUGUGUUUUUUCCACCUCCUGGGUCUGCCACUCCUCCUGUCUGUCUCACUUCACACCUGGACCUAUUCUGCAAUCAUGCUCACCUGGUCUUCAUCUCCAAUCAACUCCCCUUCAUAAACCCUUGGAUUCCCUGCUGUCGGUGCCAGAUCGUACUACGCACUACUGUGUUAUCCGGAUCCCUCACUCCAGCUCGCCUGCUUCGCUCCUUCCCCGGCAACCUCAUCCAAUACCCGCCUCCUCGCCUCGUUCAAUAAACCCUUUUUCCUUCAACUCAA